UCGUGCCUUUGAAAUAAACGGGGCUUGCUU
rnacentral:piRNA from 1 species